rnacentral:misc_RNA from 1 species
AAGGAAGGAGGAGAGAGAAAGCUGCCGCGGGGAGCUGUCGAAACUCGGAGUCAAAGGAGCGAGCGAGCACAUUCCGGAGCGGAUAUUUCGAGUGGAAUUGUUGAAUCGAAAGGUACGAAGAGCACCUGAGAAACGCACUGAUGAUUUACUCCGUGCAGACUAAGCAUCGCCGGGCAACGUUUUCAUGAGUGAACCAAUCGAUUGAUCUGGAACGGGCGCGGUGGCAGAAAGGAGGAACGCUUUUUUAGUUUAUUUCGCAUUUAAACCAAUGACCGAGACGAUAUUAAACAGGUGAAACGGCGAGCGAGAGAGAGAGAAAAGACCGAGGAUUAUGCCGUCAGGAGGGACGAAAGGCAGCGAUUGAUCACUCGGGGGGACAAUAUUUCGUGGCAGUGCAAGUGGGUUUUUUAAUAUUGUGCAAUAUCACGAUCGAAUCGUAUAAUUUUACCGACGGAACGAACAAAGCCAGCACGAAGUAGCACCUCGAGUUUCCAGAAUAUUUACAGUGUAGUUUCACGUAGCCGCCGUCCUCAAAUCAGCUGAAACUCCAAAUCGAAUCGCCGGGGUGCUCGAGUCCGUUAGGAGGCAAAAAAUCACACCGAUUUGCCGCAUCUUCGGUGAGACUCUGAAACAAGAAACUAACUCGAAAGGCUCUCGUCGGAGCCCGCAGCAAAGUCGGUGGAAAUUUCGACGACAAAGUGCUUCGAAAGGGCGUUGAAAAAGUUCCGAAAUUGAUGUACGCGGCGAUAUUGCAAAGAUCGUCGAGUCCCCUGCGAGGUGAAUUCCCAUCGAAAUCGUCCCGCACGAUUUUCAGAGGCUUUUUCGAGCCCCGAUACGUCGACGGAACUCGAAGCCGUCAGGACUUUUGUUAACUUGGAAGAAAAUAUCUACUUUUCUUCUCCCCGGCGGAGUUUCUGGGAGAGAUCCGAUCGACGAAGACACGAGCGGUCACUCAUCACGGAUAGUAACCACUGUUCCGGCGAACAUCGAUUCUUUCUCUCUCUCUCUCGCAAGCUCCGAUUGAAAGCGGUAAAGCUGUAAGCUCGGCAAAGCUCGCGGGAUAUUCGGUCGAGCGCUUAGUACGUCAGGGCGCGCGCUUCUACCUUUUUACACGGGUCGCGCUCGUUAUAUCGAUUACUUUCGAAAAUAGAAGGCGGCAAGCGUGCGCGGCCGGAAACACCUGCUCUCCCGUGGUGUGCAGUGUCUUUCUCUCUUUCUCUCUCGCUCCUCGACUCGUACGGUCUCACGCGGGCGCGGAGUAACCCGCCUUUCUGGCCAGUUGUUUAACACUUUUCUCUUUCUACCUCGGCGUUCGUGUGCGCGCGUGUGUGUCGCCGUACGGGCGCGCGUGUGUCUUUUGGUGUGCGCGCAUGUCCGCGUGUGUCGAAGCGCGUAAAGAUAACUACAGUGGCGACAGGUGCUGUAUGUGUACUGGAAAGCGCGGCUAAUGAGCGUGAAGCACUUGUAGCGAGGGAAAAUAAAAGAAAGAGAAAAUACGAGGAGCGAGUUAAUUUCGUGGUGAAAUCCGCCUUUUGUUUGUUCAUCCUUCGAAAAUCGUUUGUUUCGUUAAAUUAAAUAAAUCUUGUGGUAAACAUUGUGAUAAAUUGGCCGGAGCAAGGAGCCCAAAGCUGAAGAAAUUUUUUGAAUACGUAAGAGUAAAUCCGCUCGGAAAAACGAAGGGAACAGUAGGCAGCGGCCGUAGCAGCGGCAGCAGCAGAGCGAAUCCGUUUUUUUGGCAAAGGCUCCAAGCGGGGGGAGCUCCCGGGAGUACAGUGGGGGGGCUUAGAAAAUUCGGAGUUCAUAAAGUCGUGGAGGCGCCCGUCGUCUUCGCCGGUACAACCAUAACGCCGCCCGCCCUAAAACGCCCGAGACGGGAAACGGUGGACUCAUCCCCGCCACCCGCUCGUAUCGCAACAUCCUCAGGCGUCGUAACAACGUCGUCUUCGUCCUCCGGUAAUCCCGGAACGUCCACCGACCUCGUCUGCAUACACGGCGGCAUGGACGCACCGUUGUCCCAGAGCAUGGACUCCGUAAAUACGGUAGCUACCGGCGAGGACGAGGUGCGCACCUUGUUCGUGAGCGGUCUGCCGAUGGACGCCAAAGCAAGGGAAUUAUACCUCCUCUUCAGAGCAUACGAGGGGUACGAGAACUCACUGCUCAAAGUAACUUGCAAGAAUGGGAAGACCGCAUCGCCAGUGGGAUUCGUGACCUUUCAAACGAGGGCGGGAGCCGAGGCAGCCAAACAGGACUUACAGCAGGGGGUUAAAUUCGAUCCUGAAAUGCCACAAACAAUACGUUUGGAAUUUGCAAAAAGUAACACAAAGGUUAGCAAACCCAAGCAACCAGCCGCUGCAGCAGCCACCUCGCACCCCGCUCUGAUGCACCCUCUAACCGGACACUUAGGAAGCCCUUUCUUCCCGGGUGGACCGGAACUGUGGCAUCAUCCAUUGGCAUACUCGACGGCAGGUGAACUGCCAGGGACGCUACAACAUGCGACGCUCGUCCAUCCUGCGUUACAUCCUCAGGUCCCCGCGCCAAUGUCUCUGCCACAUCCGACAACGCUGACGUCGAUACACGCGACUCUGCCACACUUUUUACCGUCACCGGCACUGGCGUCGCCAGUAGGCUCGUCCUCCUCCCAGCCCAGCAUAGCGGUCAGCAACGCGCCGUGUUCGACUCUGUUUGUCGCUAAUCUGGGACAAUUCGUAUCGGAGCAAGAGCUCAACGAGAUCUUCAACAGUUUUACUGGUUUCUGUCGGCUUCGUAUGCACACGAAGGGAGGCUCGCCCGUGGCAUUUGUCGAAUUUCAAGACGUACGCUACGCUGCCCAAGCGAUGGCAGCACUCCAGGGAUCCUUACUCCUCUCCUCCGACCGGGGACCGAUACGAAUCGAAUAUGCAAAGUCGAAAAUGGCCGAGGUGGGCUUUACAAAUCUCUGGAUCGAAGGAUCGAAGGGAGAGAAAAACGGGCAACCUUAAGAUCGACAUAAACGGUAUGUGAGGCGAAUAAAUGAGACAACGAAAAGUCUACAUUUCUCAUCUAGCAGAAAAAAAAACAAUAAAAAAAAAACUAAAAGAAAAGAAAAAAGGAAGUUACGUGGAUCAACGUCGAAGCGACGAGGUAAAUAAAACAAAACGGCGAGAGCUAAAUUUCGACGCGGUUUAGGAUAAUUACGAGAGAAGACAACGGUGCCGUGGGAAUUAAGGAGAGCCCGAAAGUAUUGAGGGGACGAAAGAGUGAUACGAGAGGGUCAAGAUGCAGGCUGCGAUAUGAGGCGAGGCAAACUAACGGAUGGACAAGUCUCAGAAGAAAGGAACUCUUUUUGUCGGGCUUUAAAAACUUUCGGCUUUGAGAGAGCUCUUGGCCAACCGCGCUCGAAGCGUGCCAUCCGAGGGCGGACAUAUUCUGUCAAUGACAAAAGACUUGAUGAAAAUAAUGAGAGAAAAAGAAAAAGAAGAAAAAUUAAAACGUAAAAAGAAACAAAAAGGAAUAGGACGGCCAAAGUCUCGGCACAUUAUUUGCCCAAGUGCCUUCCUUGUUGGUCGAUUCCACUGCUAACUCCACUUUGCACCCUGUUCUAAUCGCACACACGCUUCUCCUUCUUCUUCUUCUAUCGAAGCAUUCAAUAUUUUCACAUAAUUUGAAGAAAAAACUCAUCCAAUCUCACACCCGAAAACAUCUGUUUUGGUAUUCGUUUUUCAAACUUUGCCCAAAAUAAGAAAUACCGAGUCGAUUCGUCCGAACGAACAUGCCAACCAGCCCCAGCAGUUCGCUACUUCGGAAAUUCACUUUUCACGUUUGUACUCUUCCAAACAUUCCGUGCCACUGUCCACAAGCUUUUUGGAAUAAAAUGGCGCUCAAACAUUCCUCUGUCGCGGUACCGUCCUCCCAAUCCUCAGCUUUUGCUUCCUCCUCCCUUCCUUCUUCUUAAGGUAGAUGGGUGACGGUCAUCCACCUUUUUUCAUAUCUUUCCAACAUUUCAAAAGAGAAAACUCACUUUAACGUAAUAAUUUUAUUAUUUUAGAAAUAUUAUCGGUAGAGAACCAACAGUUUUAUAAGAUUUUAUUAUUUAAAAAAACGUUUGAAGAGCUCAUUUUAACUGGCGCGGUGCAACAGCUGCCGCGCUGCUGUUCAUCUCACGCUUUAAUUUUUGUUUACUCAUUUUGUAGAUCACGAAGCGAGUUUACUGUCCAAAGUAAACUGUGCAGUGGAGGAAAAUGAAUAGAUUAACGAUAAAAAAGUUAACCGGGAUAAAAAUGGUCGUUUUGUAACAGACAUUUGCAGUGUAAUCUGAAUGAUUUCUCGUCAGAUAUUUCUUCAUAUAGUUGAGCCACGAUUUUCAACGGUAAGCUUCAAAAAUUGUGUGUAUUCUUGAAUACCCACGAAAUACAAGGAUCCAUUUUGUUUUUGAUAAAUCUUGGAAAUUAUAACCAAUGAAAAAAUUCAAUAACUUUUCAUGUGUCAGAAAAAAGUCGAUAUUCAAUAAUUAAGGUAUUCCAUUCGCAUGAGCGUAUUUAUUGGUGGCAAAUUGGGGCACUCGAAAUUUCGACUGAUUCCGAACCUCUGAGAAGUCGUGGUUACAUAGGAAAAGCUUCUGCUUCUGCCAUUUUUCCAACUUCUAUCGUCAAUGUCUCUCUUAAACAUUCGGUGGCCCUUUAGUUUUAUCGUUGCUGUGGUUUCCUUAAAUUUUCUUCUAUCUGUGAGACAGUUCGUAUCAGGAAUUAAGAAUUAUUUACUAUAUGAAUUAUUGAAUAGAAAUUGGCAAUGAUGGAAUCUUCGUAAGCUGCAGUAUAAAUUUUACGACUUUUCAAGUUUUAAUUCUUCAUUAAAUGUUCGAUAAUUGAAAUUUCGCCAAUCUAUUCGCAUGCACUUUUACUUUACCGUUAUUUAAAAUGAGUUAUUCGUAGAAUAUUCGGGUUCGCGAAAGCAAUACCUUAAUUUGUCGCUAAACUACAUGGUAACUAGCGUCCAAAUUUUUCAAGUGUAUCCAGUACUAAUUCAUUUUUGCGUACCAAAAAUAUCGCGUAAUCUUGGACAGCGAAUGUUCACCCAUCUACCUUAAAUGCGUUGCCGAAUGCGACUGUGCACCACGGUUGAGGGAGCAAAAAGGCCAACCAACGUUUUUGGCGCUCACAAACGUCGAAUUAAAAUGGCCGAAUCGUGGGCGAGUAAAAUACAUAUCAGGCACGCUUAAGAGUCUUAGCUUAUUCUAUCAUAUCGACUAAUAUUUAUUGUAACUUAACACUAUUUAACGAAUUAUCUCAUAGGAGGAAAGUAAAAGGUGAAAAAAAAGCUGCGAAGGAAAGAGCCGACCAAUGAAAUUCGUUCGCCGGAGUGUGGCGCACCGUAGAAACCGUUUUUACUGCACUCCUUAAAGAAAUAUUUAAACUCUGAAGAAACCGUAAGAAUUUGAUGAUCUUUGUAGAACGGAACGAAAGACGCGGGAGAGGCUUUCAGCUCGUUUGGAUAAACAGCAAAACUGCGUGAUCUUUUGUUACUGAGAGAAAGCCACUCGCUGCUCCGAGGAUUGUAGAAUCGUCUCAGAACGGGUCGGAAAGUUCUCGGUGUCGAAAUCCUUGAUUAUCUCCGGGCUGAGACCUGCGCGGUUAACUUCAUUUCCGACAUUAAUUUCAACGCUUUGGAGCUCUCGUUCCACUGGAAACUCCCUCAACGUCAACUACCCACUAAAUCGCAGAGCUUUUCUUAGCCUUUUUCUUCUCUACCGAUAGCUUUUGCUCUUCCGCGUACAAUCAACGGGUCGAAUUAACAGUCAGGCAUGUCGAGCGAAUUUUGCAGUAGCGAAGAAUUCGGUUUGAAAAUUCGCACGAAGAUCGCCUCGGUUGCUCAGCUCGAGUCAAUUGUUACCAACGCGAGUGAGAAACGGGACAAAAAGCUUGCUGAAAAUGAUUUUAAGGUAGUUCGUGCACGAAACGAUUUUCUUGAGAAAGUCUUGAAAUUUACACAGAGUUUAAGUGGGCAUCGACUGACGCGCAUGUCAAAUUUUAAAGGACUCGUUUCAUUGUUUAUUUAAAUAAACGUCUUUAUUAAAUAUGAAAAAAAAUACACAGGAGUAUAGGGACUGUGCUUAAAAAAUCGUUUAUCUUUCUAUAUAACGAAUGAACGCUUCUUACAAAAUUUAUGAAAAAUCGCACACAAUAACAAUAAAGUAUAUUACGAAAGUCUGGGAAAAACAGUCGAGACGAUUGUCUUACUAGUAAUGAAGACAUAUUACCUUAAAGAUUGAACGAAAUUGGUUAAACGUGCAAUCGUAACUUCACAUUUGCUUGUUUGGGCAUAUUGUUUCUUCUUGGCUUAGCCCAUUGCCGUCAAAAAGACAGAAGUCUUUUUAUUAUCACUUUUUUCUUGAUCCAUUUCUUUUUGACAUAAAAAAAGAACAGUAUUUUAGCGAGGGACGAAUGGAAUUGGGGUUCGGUCAGUGUUGGAUCCCCGUUUAUAAUUAACGGCUUGUAAUUUCAUUCGCCAAAAAAUAAGUUGAAAAAACGUAUUUACAAUUUGGAAUAAAUGACUCCGACGUUGAUUUAGAGUGAUAAUAUCUUUAAUUAUUCGGAGACCCAUAAAAUACGAUAUUUCGGGCAUGAUCUACCUUAACGGAGUUGAAUUGAGGGAAGAGUAUCGACACCCGUAGCCGUGGGACUGGGGCGUCCUGGGAGGAAUGAGAAUGUAAAAUAACGAUGAGAAUAUACGACGAAGAUGAAAGUAUUUAGAAAUAUAUGCACGGAGUCAAGUGUCUUUGAAUAAAUUUGUGCUUUUAACCGAUGAAAGUAUCUCAACUUCAUUAUUUCAUUCAUCAUUAAAGAGGAAAAGUAAUGAAUAAAAAGUCGACUGUUUGACACAACAGUACUUGCGGGGCCUUGUAAACUCUUUUCGUGCCAGUUCCAAAACUUUACAAUCGCCACGAAUUAAUCACGAUUUAAUGCCAAUUUGAAUUCGAACGAAACGUCAAGACUUGUGGUCCAUCGACCGCUAUUACGAAGCGUCGAUGACCCGAUGCGUUUCAACCGUGGAACAGCCUCGUUCCUUCGCACUGCCCAUGGGAUCGAGGCACAGUUACUCUUUUCUAGUAGUGCAUCACGCUCCCUCGAAAGUCUCGCUCCCGAUAAGAAAGGAAGAAUCGCGAAGAAAGACCGAGAAAUCGUCGUAGCAUGAGAGAAAAAUCCCGACGACGUACAAUCCUCGUAAGAAAAUACCUCGAGAGAGAGAGAGAGAGAGAGAGAGGAAGAUGAAGAAGAAGGAGAAAAAGUCGAGCGGUGCGAGAAUUCCUGGUGCGAGAGGUCCAAUUUCACGCAACGAUGGACCUCACGGUCUGGUUUGUUGCUCACAAUUCUCUAUUUUUUAUUUCCUCCUUAGUUCACCCGUAGCCUUCUAUUUUGCCCCCAACCUCGUUCACCACGCUCGCGAUACCGCGUCGAGAUUCUUCCCCAUUUUUCCUCGCUCUCGUUUACAAAUCACAUUUCGUUUUUCACAAAAUGUCCUCACCACGAAAGCACCGAACGCACUGUCCCGCGUUGACAGCUGUUUUUUCAUUCACCAAACCGGAGAAGUUAGGGAUCGAGGAAUAAAACGGACGAUUAUUAUAUAUUCGAUCGACGGAAGUUACGCAAGGCCGACGAAAAUUCAAUAAAAACAAAGCAUUCACUAAAAUAGAGAGUCCAAAACGAAGUUGAUUAUUACGCGAAGAUAACGAUCGUUUUCUAUCUUUAAAAUUAAGAGACAGAGAAUCAUGAGGAAUGUGAGAAACAGAGAGGCUGAAAGUUGUUGUGAAUUUCGUGCGUACACGUUAAAUUAAUGCGAACAAACUAAAAUCUACAUAAAUCACGACGUAUUGAAUCAUUCUUUUUGUUAUUACCAUUUGUUUUUAUCUCUCGAAAUAAUAACCAAUUGCGAUGUUUUAGAUAUAAAUAAGGCUACGUUUUAACUGUAUCUUACUUACUAAGAACAUUCAGGGUGGGGAAGGAAUAAACAAAUGCGAUUAAACACACCGUAAAUCGUAAGAAACACGUUAACACGAGAACGAAAUCGAUUUAUCGAUGACGAAUAAAAAUAGGUUGGAUUUAAAGUGCUUUACAAGUGAAACUAAUUCAUAUCAGUAGAUAGUAAACGCUCUAUACAUGCAUAUAUAUAUAUAUAUGUAUAUAUGUACGUAUAUAUAUACAUUAUACAUACGAUAAAAUAUCACAAUUAUUAAGAUUAUUAUUAAUAAUAUUACGGUUCAUUAUUACUACUAUAAUUAUAUUCGAAUAACGUAUUAGAGUGGUAUUUCGUGUAAGUUUUAUUAGAAUAACUAUGUAUACACCGUAGAGAGAGAGAGAGAGAGAGAGAGAGAGAGAGAGAGAGAGAGAGAGAGAGAGAGAGAGAGAGAGACGAAAUGCUGGAGAAGACAUGAAAGUAAUAUGAAUUCUAGACGAGUGAAAAUUUCGUCAAAUUAAUGAGAUAGAAAAGUUGAAAAAUACAAAAAGCAAAUGAAUGAAAUGACACUCGAGAUAAAAAAUCCACGUCAAUCAGAUAUUUUGUACCGCAAUUAGCUUAAUUAGACGUUGGGAGUAAAAGAAAAGAGGAAUGGAUAAAAAGUGAAGUGAGAAAUUGGUUUGGUGGUGUCGGGUAAAAGGGAAAGGACGAUCGUCGUUGAGGUUCUGAGGAACGAAAGUCGACGGCGCAGUAAUGACCGUUCGGUUUUAUAAAAUGUUUGUCGGAGGGGGCUGGCUGUCACGUGAUGAUAAAUCGAACGUCAUUCGAAAUGAAAUCUCGUUAGCGUUGUCACCAAAGAUUUAUAAAUAUUCAAAUGUUUAUCCAAAGACUAAGCCAACUAAAUAGGACGCGAGAAGGAAAAAAAGCUCCUUCAAGGGAGAGAGGAAAUACCUUAACUUCGAUCGAUCACGUCGAUGCAACGCUACAAAAUUUCACCAAUUGGAAAUAGAACGGAAACAAAACUCAUUCGAUCCACUCGUCCGAACGAUUGUCUCCUUGGAAAUAUUGUACUUACAUCGCGAUUAAGACAGACGACACGGAAUUUAACGAUGAGAAGAUAGUGAGAGCGAGACAUAAUAAUUUUAGCUAAGCGGGAUCAAAGACAAAAGAGAAAUAUGCCGAGGCUGUACUUUAAUUUCAUUUUUAAUCGUGAUAGGAAGUGUGUCAAGUAUUUUAUACUUUAUAUGCUUAAAGAAAAAGACAUUUUUCAACACUC